rnacentral:rRNA from 1 species
ACCCCAGUUCAGGCGAGGGUACCCGCCGAGUUUAAGCAUAUCAAUAACGGAGGAAAAG